rnacentral:rRNA from 1 species
AGUGAACGCUGGCGGUAGGCCUAACACAUGCAAGUCGAACGGCAGCACAGUAAGAGCUUGCUCUUACGGGUGGCGAGUGGCGGACGGGUGAGGAAUACAUCGGACUCUACUUUUUCGUGGGGGAUAACGUAGGGAAACUUACGCUAAUACCGCAUACGACCUACGGGUGAAAGCAGGGGAUCUUCGGACCUUGCGCGAUUGAAUGAGCCGAUGUCGGAUUAGCUAGUUGGCGGGGUAAAGGCCCACCAAGGCGACGAUCCGUAGCUGGUCUGAGAGGAUGAUCAGCCACACUGGAACUGAGACACGGUCCAGACUCCGACGGGAGGCAGCAGUGGGGAAUAUUGGACAAUGGGCGCAAGCCUGAUCCAGCCAUACCGCGUGGGUGAGGAAGGCCUUCGGGUUGUAAAGCCCUUUUGUUGGGAAAGAAAAGCAGCAGGUUAAUACCCCGCUGUUCUGACGGUACCCAAAGAAUAAGCACCGGCUAACUUCGUG